UACGAAGGGGGCUAGCGUUGCUCGGAAUCACUGGGCGUAAAGGGUGCGUAGGCGGGUCUUUUAAGUCAGGGGUGAAAUCCUGGAGCUCAACCCCAGAACUGCCUUUGAUACUGAGGAUCUUGAGUUCGGGAGAGGUGAGUGGAACUGCGAGUGUAGAGGUGAAAUUCGUAGAUAUUCGCAAGAACACCAGUGGCGAAGGCGGCUCACUGGCCCGAUACUGACGCUGAGGCACGAAAGCGUGGGGAGCAAACAGG
rnacentral:rRNA from 1 species